GGCAGGCUAUUGUUGAGGAAGUAAAGAAGACUGAGAGAAACCUACCCCUUAUUAGUAAGAUGAUGCAGAACACGUUUGCCUUGCGACGACAGACUAUUGUAAUGUCCUGCCCACCGGUGAAAGAGCUAAUGGACCUCUGGCCUGCUCUUCAUAUGCAGUCUGAGGUAUAUGCAGAGUUCCAACGGAUAACUAACCAGAACCUACCUAACACUUUCUAUGCCGAGCUUGAUCGCCACACUCCUCGUUUGAUGGCCUUAUUUAGACAGAAAGCUUCCAAAACUGGAAAGACUGCAGAUGCUUUGGCAAACAUUUUCAAAGUCCAUGAUACACAGGAAUUACAUGAUGUCCACACAAGGCGUACCACUGUUCUCCAUGCCCUUCCUGUUUAUCUACUAGAGGAAGUCUCUGGAU